CCUACGGGGGGCUGCAGUGAGGAAUAUUGGUCAAUGGACGGAAGUCUGAACCAGCCAAGUCGCGUGAAGGACGAAGGUAUUAUGUAUUGUAAACUUCUUUUGCAGGGGAAUAAAGUGAGGCUUGCGAGCUUUUUUGCAUGUACCCUGCGAAUAAGGAUCGGCUAACUCCGUGCCAGCAGCCGCGGUAAUACGGAGGAUCCGAGCGUUAUCCGGAUUUAUUGGGUUUAAAGGGUGCGUAGGCGGAGAUUUAAGUCAGUGGUGAAAGUUUAGGGCUU
rnacentral:rRNA from 1 species